AGUGAACGCUGGCGGUAGGCCUAACACAUGCAAGUCGAACGGCAGCACAGUAAGAGCUUGCUCUUACGGGUGGCGAGUGGCGGACGGGUGAGGAAUACAUCGGAAUCUACUUUUUCGUGGGGGAUAACGUAGGGAAACUUACGCUAAUACCGCAUACGACCUACGGGUGAAAGCAGGGGAUCUUCGGACCUUGCGCGAUUGAAUGAGCCGAUGUCGGAUUAGCUAGUUGGCGGGGGAAAGGCCCACCAAGGCGACGAUCCGUAGCUGGUCUGUGAGGAUGAUCAGCCACCCUGGAACUGAGCCACGGUCCAGACUCCUACGGGAGGCAGCAGUGGGGAAUAUUGGACAAUGGGCGCAAGCCUGAUCCAGCCAUACCGCGUGGGUGACGAGGGCCUUCGGGUUGUAAAGCCCUUUUGUUGGGAAAGAAAAGCAGCAGGUUAAUACCCCGCUGUUCUGACGGUACCCAAAGAAUAAGCACCGGCUAACUUCGUG
rnacentral:rRNA from 1 species